rnacentral:rRNA from 1 species
CCUACGGGAGGCAGCAGUCGAGAAUCAUUCACAAUGGGGGAAACCCUGAUGGUGCGACGCCGCGUGGGGGAAUGAAGGUCUUCGGAUUGUAAACCCCUGUCAUGUGGGAGCAAAUUAAAAAGAUAGUACCCCAAGAGGAAGAGACGGCUAACUCUGUGCCAGCAGCCGCGGUAAUACAGAGGUCUCAAGCGUUGUUCGGAAUCACUGGGCGUAAAGCGUGCGUAGGCUGUUUCGUAAGUCGUGUGUGAAAGGCGCGGGCUCAACCCGCGGACGGCAGAUGAUACUGCGAGACUAGAGUAAUGGAGAGGGAAGCGGAAUUCGCGGUGUAGCAGUGAAAUGCGUAGAUAUCGAGAGGAACACCCGUGGCGAAGGCGGGUUCCUGGACAUUAACUGACGCUGAGGCACGAAGGCCAGGGGAGCGAAAGGGAUUAGAUACCCUAGUAGUC